CGAUGAUGCCCAGCUUGCUGGGUGGAUUAGUGGCGAACGGGUGAGUAACACGUGAGUAACCUGCCCCUGACUCUGGGAUAAGCGUUGGAAACGACGUCUAAUACUGGAUAUGAUCACUGGCCGCAUGGUCUGGUGGUGGAAAGAUUUUUUGGUUGGGGAUGGACUCGCGGCCUAUCAGCUUGUUGGUGAGGUAAUGGCUCACCAAGGCGACGACGGGUAGCCGGCCUGAGAGGGUGACCGGCCACACUGGGACUGAGACACGGCCCAGACUCCUACGGGAGGCAGCAGUGGGGAAUAUUGCACAAUGGGCGAAAGCCUGAUGCAGCAACGCCGCGUGAGGGAUGACGGCCUUCGGGUUGUAAACCUCUUUUAGUAGGGAAGAAGCGAAAGUGACGGUACCUGCAGAAAAAGCACCGGCUAACUACGUGCCA
rnacentral:rRNA from 1 species